rnacentral:rRNA from 1 species
AGCUCAUGACUGGGUAUAAAGUGUGCGCAGGCGGUUUUGUAAGACAGGCGUGAAAUCCCCGGGCUUAACCUGGGAAUUGCGCUUGUGACUGCAAGGCUGGAGUGCGGCAGAGGGGGAUGGAAUUCCGCGUGUAGCAGUGAAAUGCGUAGAUAUGCGGAGGAACACCGAUGGCGAAGGCAAUCCCCUGGGCCUGCACUGACGCUCAUGCACGAAAGCGUGGGGAGCAAACAGGAUUAGAUACCCUGGUAGUCCACGCCCUAAACGAUGUCAACUGGUUGUUGGGUCUCUUCUGACUCAGUAACGAAGCUAACGCGUGAAGUUGACCGCCUGGGGAGUACGGCCGCAAGGUUGAAACUCAAAAAAAUUAGACGG